GAUGAACGCUGGCGGCGUGCCUAAUACAUGCAAGUCGAGCGAAUGGAUUAAGAGCUUGCUCUUAUGAAGUUAGCGGCGGACGGGUGAGUAACACGUGGGUAACCUGCCCAUAAGACUGGGAUAACUCCGGGAAACCGGGGCUAAUACCGGAUAACAUUUUGAACCGCAUGGUUCGAAAUUGAAAGGCGGCUUCGGCCGUCACUUAUGGAUGGACCCGCGUCGCAUUAGCUAGUUGGUGAGGUAACGGCUCACCAAGGCAACGAUGCGUAGCCGACCUAGGAGGGUGAUCGGCCACACUGGGACUGAGACACGGCCCAGACUCCUACGGGAGGCAGCAGUAGGGAAUCUUCCGCAAUGGACGAAAGUCUGACGGAGCAACGCCGCGUGAGUGAUGAAGGCUUUCGGGUCGUAAAACUCUGUUGUUAGGGAAGAACAAGUGCUAGUUGAAUAAGCUGACACCUUGACGGUACCUAACCAGAAAGCCACGGCUAACUACGUGCCAGCCGCCGCUGUAA
rnacentral:rRNA from 1 species